AGUGAACGCUGGCGGUAUGCCUAACACAUGCAAGUCGAACGGCAGCACAGUAAUAGCUUGCUUUUAUGGGUGGCGAGUGGCGCACGGGUGUGGCAUACAUCUGACUUUACUUUUUCGCGGGGGAUAACGUAGGGAAACUUACGCUAAUACCGCAUACGACCUACGGCUGAAAGCAGGGGAGCUUCGGACCUUGCUCGUUUGAAUUAGACGAUGUCGUAUUAGCUAGUUGGCGGGGUAACGGCCCACCAAGGCGACGAUCCGUAGCUGGUCUGAGAGGAUGAUCAGCCACACUGGAACUGAGACACGGUCCAGACUCCUACGGGAGGCAGCAGUGGGGAAUAUUCGGCAAUGGGCGAAAGUCUGAUGGAGCAAUGCCGCGUGAGUGAAGAAGGUCUUCGGAUUGUAAAGCUCUUUUGUUAGGGAAGAACAACUACGUGAGAAAAUGAAGGUAUCCUGACGGUACCCAACGAGAAAGCACCGGCUAACUACGUG
rnacentral:rRNA from 1 species